rnacentral:rRNA from 1 species
AGAGCGAACGCUGGCGGCAUGCUUAACACAUGCAAGUCGCACGGGCACUUUCGGGUGUCAGUGGCGGACGGGUGAGUAACGCGUAGGUAUCUGUCCAUGGGUGGGGGAUAACGCCGGGAAACUGGUGCUAAUACCGCAUGAUGACUGAGGUCCAAAGGCGCAAGUCGCCUGUGGAGGAGCCUGCGUUCGAUUAGCUUGUUGGUGGGGUAACGCCUACCAAGGCGACGAUCGAUAGCUGGUCUGAGAGGAUGAUCAGCCACAUUGGGACUGAGACACGGCCCAAACUCCUACGGGAGGCAGCAGUGGGGAAUAUUGGACAAUGGGCGCAAGCCUGAUCCAGCAAUGCCGCGUGGAUGAAGAAGGUCUUCGGAUUGUAAAGUCCUUUCGACGGGGACGAUGAUGACGGUACCCGUAGAAGAAGCCCGGCUAACUUCGCGCCAGCAGCCGC